rnacentral:RNase_P_RNA from 2 species
GCGGAUGGCUGGAUGACUGCGGCAGCAAUGUCGAGGAAAGUCCGGACUCCAAAAAGCACGGUGCCGGGUAACGCCCGGCGGGGGUAACCCCAGGGAAAGCGCCACAGAGAACAGACUACCUGAUUUCGAUCAGGAAAAGGUGAAACGGUGGGGUAAGAGCCCACCGCGCAAGCGGCAACGCAAGCGGCACGGCAAGCCCCACCGGGAGCAAUGCCAAAUAGGGACCUCGCGUCGCAAGACGGGGAUGCUUGAACCCCAGAUGGUCCGGGUUGGCAGCUAGAGGGCGUCUGGCAACAGGCGCCCCAGAUGAAUGGUCAUCCAUUUGUGGGCAACCACAAAGGACAGAAUCCGGCUUAUAGGCCAUCCGCGCAU